CACUGUAUAGCUGCCACAGCAUUAACCUUUUAAGUUAAAGAUCGAGAAAAACCUCUUCUCUGCAGUGA
ensembl:Mt_tRNA